rnacentral:lncRNA from 1 species
UUAAGGAUUUUUUUUUAGGGAAAACACGGCCUGAGGCGAUUUUAUUUAAUUAAUUAGUAGAUACAGACUGAAAAAAUUCAUCAAUAGAAGACCAGAAAGAAAGCUUUUUGCGUGCUAGUCCCCAAGUGGCUAAGAGAUCCGCGACUAUAGCAUUUUUAGAAAAUCUCGAAUUCCAUCCGAAGCUGAAGAAAUUGAAUCUCUCAGUAAAAGUCCAUAGCUCUAUGAUUUCUUAUCCGAGCUUCAGGUGUUAGCGAAUCUGAGUGAUAACUCCUGAGAUGCAAAGUUUUGAUGAUGGAUGCUAAAUUUGAAAAGAUAUGAAAAGUUUCUCUAGUAUACAUUUGCAAAGGAAGCUCUGUCACUCGGAUAAUUGAUCCAAUUUUCGCCGAGCAGGCAUCGUGGACCACUUUUAUUGCGUCAGAUAUGCAUGCGAUGAUGCCAUGUUGAUUAGUAAUC